GAUAGAUAGAUAGAUAGAUAGAUAGAUAGAUAGAUAGAUAGAUAGAUAGAUAGAUAGAUAGAUAGAUAGAUAGAUAGAUAGAUAGAUAGAUAGAUAGAUAGAUAGAUAGAUAGAUAGAUAGAUAGAUAGAUCUUUCUUCCUGUCCAUUUUUAAACCUGUAAACAAAUCCAACUCCUGAUGCUCCAGAUACUAAAGUAACCUAAAGAAGGCAGCUUUUAUUUCUCCCUUAAUCAGUACGACGGUGUUCAGCUGCGCUAGCACGAUUAGCAAACACAACAUGAGACCGAAUCAGAGGACCGAUGGUCACCGAUGACGGGCUUCUGUGGGACAAAGUACAUCUUUCCUUCUUCUACUUUCUUUCCUUCUUCAUUUUACGUUUCCGAAACGCGUAAAAACGGAUUUCUUCGGAAAACUACGACAUUUACGAGCGAUCCCGAUCUUCUGGACGUUAGCGUAGGAGUAAACCGGAUCAGACCUGAACCUGUACAUGAACCGAAUCGUGCAGACGUCCGUACUCAAAUAAACACCUUAUUCAAUGUAGACACUAAUAAUAAACUGUAAUAUCGCUCUGAUCGGCUCAGGCCCAGGUUCUGCACCUUUACCCACAAGAGUGACACGAAUACAGUAACAUUUAUUUAUGUUUAUUUAUCUAAUAAUAUUUGUUUAUUCCUACAUAUUUAAUGAUAUAAUUAAUAACUAAACUGAUGAUUGUGUACUAAGGUGGUCUUCAUUGAUGCCUGAAGACCUAAAGCAGACUCAUUUAUUCCGUCCUUGCUGUUAAUAAUCGGCUCUGUUCUUUUCGGAAGCUUUCGGCUAGCCUUCGGCUACGGGACACGACGAUCAACGAGAUCGGACACUGACGUUGAGUGAAGAGCUUAUUAGUCAAUAGUUCAUGAUUAACUCAUCAUUAGUUUAUAUUUAAUUUAUAAAAGUAUUUAUCGUGCAUCAUUCCUCAUCUUCUGCUAUCGUUACAACAUUCAGACUCUGCGGGGCCACGUUUCCUUUUUCCGUCUUUAUUCUCAGACCGGCUUCGACGCGUUAGGAAUUAUUUGUUUUUAUUGACAGGUUUUUCCAUAAAUCAUCAGGUGAUGCUGCUCGAAUACCUGCACACUACUCCUGUGAACUUAACACACGUAUGAAGAAUCGUGCACAACGGACGUUAUGUAAACUUUAUGUCGAAUAGAAAUAUGGAACGUGGGAACAAAUCAUAUUACACCGAAGAUUCCUCGGAAGUAUUUUUUUGGGUUGUUUUUUUUUUUUUUUGUCACGUUUACGUGCGCUAUAGUGACUAAAAGAAGAAAGCGGUCUAAGUGAUGGCUACAACGUCGUCUCAGAGGGAAACUACAUGUCCUUUGGUUUACCUUUCAGGAGCAGUGUUUAGUGUUUAGGAAACUCUCAUGUAUGAAGAGUCCUAUAGAGAGAAGCUUUUACUUAUAGUGUCAAUAAUCGAUAGACUUUUUUUUUUUUUUAAUGGAGUUUUCCCAGAAGGACAAAUCCGAGAGUUCCGGAUGUCACCUCGGUGUAAAGAGCGUAUUUUCUUUGACGCGUCGACCCCUGAGGGAUCCCAAAGUCUCCAUGCCUUAGACAUUCUCUUUUCUAUCGAAUGGCCAGUGUUUACAUUUAGUGUUUAUAAAGAGGAAAGUGAAGCGGACGUAAAAAAAAACGAUCCUCGUAUGUUUUCGUUGUUGUGAAUAUGUGAAGGUUAAAUUGUGACAUAACUUGUAGUGUUGUCAAAAGAACUGAAGAUCUUUAAGCGUACAAAUAAAUCGAAUCGCUCCCAGCUUUUGGAUCGAAACAGAUCCUCACGGAUUAAACGUCUGUCUUAUUGUUUCCAUAAACAAUGCAAUAUAAACUCA